rnacentral:tRNA from 1 species
GCCCUAGUAGCUCAGUUUCAGAGCGCCGGUCUUGUAAUCCGGAGGUCUGAGGUUAAAUUCCUCCCUAGUGCU